rnacentral:rRNA from 1 species
UACGAAGGGGGCUAGCGUUGUUCGGAAUUACUGGGCGUAAAGCGCGCGCAGGCGGUCUUCCAAGUCAGUGGUGAAAGCCCGGAGCUCAACUCCGGAACUGCCAUUGAAACUGUGAGACUUGAGUAUGAGAGAGGUGAGUGGAAUUCCCAGUGUAGAGGUGAAAUUCGUAGAUAUUGGGAAGAACACCGGUGGCGAAGGCGGCUCACUGGCUCAUUACUGACGCUCAGGCGCGACAGCGUGGGGAUCAAAUAGG